rnacentral:rRNA from 1 species
AUUGAACGCUGGCGGCAUGCCUUACACAUGCAAGUCGAACGGUAACAGGUCUUCGGAUGCUGACGAGUGGCGAACGGGUGAGUAAUACAUCGGAACGUGCCUGGUAGUGGGGGAUAACUACUCGAAAGAGUGGCUAAUACCGCAUGAGAUCUACGGAUGAAAGCAGGGGAUCGCAAGACCUUGUGCUACUAGAGCGGCCGAUGGCAGAUUAGGUAGUUGGUGGGAUAAAAGCUUACCAAGCCGACGAUCUGUAGCUAGUCUGAGAGGACGAUCAGCCACACUGGGACUGAGACACGGCCCAGACUCCUACGGGAGGCAGCAGUGGGGAAUUUUGGACAAUGGGCGCAAGCCUGAUCCAGCAAUGCCGCGUGCAGGAUGAAGGCCUUCGGGUUGUAAACUGCUUUUGUACGGAACGAAAAGCCCUGGGUUAAUACCCUGGGGUCAUGACGGUACCGUAAGAAUAAGCACCGGCUAACUACGUGCCAGCAGCCGCCGCGGUAA